rnacentral:rRNA from 1 species
GACGAACGCUAGCGGCGGGCUUAAUACAUGCAAGUCGAGGGAGAGAUUCACUUCGGUGGAUGGAAACCGGCGAACGGGUGCGUAACGCGUAUGUAACUUGCCCCUUAGAAAGGAAUAGCCUAUGGAAACGUAGAUUAAUGCCUUAUAUGCUUGCGGUAUCGCAUGGUACAGCAAGGAAAGAUUUAUCGCUAAGGGAUGGACAUGCGUGACAUUAGCUAGUUGGUAAGGUAAUGGCUUACCAAGGCGACGAUGUCUAGCUGGUCUGAGAGGAUGAUCAGCCACACGGGCACUGAGACACGGGCCCGACUCCUACGGGAGGCAGCAGUAAGGAAUAUUGGUCAAUGGGGGCAACCCUGAACCAGCCACGCCGCGUGCAGGAAGAAGGUUCUCUGGAUUGUAAACUGCUUUUGUUAGGGACUAAACUUGUGCUAUAUGCACAACUGCAGGUACCUAAAGAAUAAGCGCCGGCUAACUACG